rnacentral:piRNA from 1 species
UGAGGAAGAACCGUGUACUACCCAGACGCA